AGACGUGCUUGGAACCCAGUUCAAUCGCCAAAAAGAUGUCCGAAGUUGCCUUAAUUGUCCCUUUAAGGAGGUUGACAUUAAGCCAGGUGUAAAAAUGCUAGUAACAUCAUGUGAAGCAACAGGCUUUACGUAAGAUGAUGAGCCACAGUCCCUCUUGGAUGACAUUCGGCAGGGUAUUGAGGUAGGGAUGAAGAAGACUCAACCAAAUUCAGAGGACAACAUAUGUUUAGCAAUGAGUGGACUGAACAAGUCCCUCUCCAGGAAGAAAUUGACAAGCUCUUCAAGCUCCCUGGUGUUGAAAUACCGUACCAAGGCCCAAGUACUUGACUCUGCUCCCGAUGAGACUUCUCCGAAACCUAGGGUUGUCCCCCACAACAAAAAGAUGGAAGAACAACCACGGUGCUUUCCCACCAAAAAGAAACGCCCUGGUUCUGGUCCCAUGCAUGGCAAACCUCCCACCAGUUUGGAGCAGCAGCACAUCACGGAGGGCCUUGUAGCCAGAGGGAGUGACCACUGGCGACCACAAGCAUGAGGAUCUGCUACAGGAAGCAUAAUCAUGUACCUGGACCUCGAGACCGGUGACCUUGGAGAUGUCAGCAAGGCUACAGGGUGAUUUGUUCACCGCAGGGCUGUGCAAUUUAGUGGCAUGGAACUAGUGUCUCACCUCGGAGAUCUCCAUGGCGACUGAACAGUGUAAGGCUGGUGGGGCAAGAAGUUUAUUGGAAGGUUUUGUCAUGCCAUGGGGAUGAACAUUCGUGACAGGUUCAUCUCCCAAACCAGCUACGCAAUAGACGCAAGCCUGCUAAGGCACUGGGACAUGGAUGCAUUAUAGUCAUUAGUGUGUGGCACAGAGGACUUCUAGGGACAAGGCAGGAGACGAACAUGCAAUAUUUAUAUUCUGCCUAUAUUCAGUGAACACCCCCCCCCCCCCCGAGGUCA
rnacentral:misc_RNA from 1 species